GCCUAAUACACCAGAUAGACAAUUAUCCUUCAAAGUAUCGCGCAGCUUAUGACUAUGUUCUUUUAUUGGAUUUGCAACUUUGUCGACAAAGAUUUGAAAGCACAAAGCUACUUUGUGUGGAGUCAAGAGUAAAAUAUAAGGUAAAGUAACACCAUAUAAGACUACCAGCAUGGUGGGUGGGGUUCGCAACAUGAAUCAAAUCAGCUUAAGAGGAUGCAGAAAUUGAUUUAGGAUAUCUAGCAUAGAUAUUUAUAACAUAACAGAUUUUGUAGUAUUUAAGUAGGUAUUAAAGAUACUUAUAAAACUCA
rnacentral:misc_RNA from 1 species